rnacentral:lncRNA from 1 species
AUCAUCUAUUUAAGAGACAUUCUAAUAAUAAUUUUAUAUGUAAAAGAAAAAUCAUAAGCUUUAUACACUAUAAAGAGAUCAAAUCAUUUUUUAUAUGUAAAAAGAAAAAAUAUGAUUAAAAUUCACAAGUUUGUUUAUGCUACAAUUCUAUUUCUUUCUAUAUCUUUUGUUGCAGCGCAGAAAUAUGUCCGUAAGAUAUUUCUUAUCUUUUUCAAAUUUUCCUUAUUUACUUUGCACAAUUUUUUUUUAUUCCGUUUUAUUAAUAUGAUUAGUUUUUAAUUACAGCACGUAUACGUGAAUGUGAAUAUGAUGACGAUUGUCCACAAAUAGUUGCAUAUCCUUUAGCUAUGAAGUGCGUUUAUUACAAUUGUGUAGUUGUUAACCUCAAUGAUCCAUGAUCCUCACUCAAAGAAGUGCCAUGAAGAAUAAUAAUGAGUUUUGUCAUGAGCAAAAUACUUGUGCAUUAUACCUUAUGCAAUAAUACUCCAUAACAUGUCAUUAUUGUAAUGGAUAUCAAUGAUUAUUUAAUCUAUUUAUAGUUAGUUUCUUAAUUUGCAAAUCUUGAAGUUAUGGUUAUGAUAAUAAUGAAAUUAAUUAAGAGUGCACUCUUUCACACACAAAAUUCUGAUCACUGAGACCGAC